rnacentral:rRNA from 1 species
UACGUAGGGUGCAAGCGUUGUCCGGAAUUAUUGGGCGUAAAGAGCUCGUAGGCGGUUUGUCGCGUCGGGAGUGAAAACUCAGGGCUUAACCCUGAGCCUGCUUCCGAUACGGGCAGACUAGAGGUAUGCAGGGGGAGAACGGAAUUCCUGGUGUAGCGGUGAAAUGCGCAGAUAUCAGGAGGAACACCGGUGGCGAAGGCGGUUCUCUGGGCAUUACCUGACGCUGAGGAGCGAAAGUGUGGGGAGCGAACAGG